GAGUUAGGCCAUUUCAGAAUGUCUAUUUAUAAUUUUUUCAAUUAAUCAUUCAUUCAUUCAGUCAGGCAGUCAAUCAGUCACUCAAUUGACAUAGAUCAUACAUGUUAAGACUACCGUGUUCACAUUUCUUUUUUAAAUGUGUAGGAUGUUAUGGAAAGAAAGCUGAGCCAAAACCGCAGCCAACAUUUGACAAAAUGAAUAUCUGUCCAUUUUUAGCACAAAAAAAAAACCUGUGAGAGCUCUGUUUGUUGCAUGGAACCUGUAAGACAACUGUCACUAAAAAGGAAGCUCUUGAAAUCUUUUUUGUUUUGCAAGUACAGGAAUCCACACUCAAUGGUAAUCAAAAGCCAGUGAAAGAGGAAAAACAAUAACCUACAGGUUUCAGUCUGGAUCUUCUGAUGUAAUAAAUUAUCUGAAAACCAAUAAAUUAAAUUAUACUAUCAGAAAGGUCUUAGUAUGUUAGUUCUUAAAACAACAAGUAACAAGUGAAUAUUAGAAAGGACAAAAACAGAUGAAAUUACUUUUCCUCAUAGAAAAUUAUGCAAAGAGAACUGAAAGUUUUGGUUUUCUUUUUUACAUGCAGUGAAACUGAGUUGUGGAACAGUCUGUCCUGAACACAUUCUCAUAGAAAUGGCAAUAUCAAAGUUAUGUGCUAAUGACAUUACAGUGCCACCAGUUAACUUACUGCUUUUCUCCCUUCCACAAGCAGGUUCGUCUCUCCUUCCUAACCCAAACAGUCACAUUUGCCAGCUGCCAAGCAACUACUGAAAAUCUAAGAAUGCUCAAAUGAUAAUUACUGAAGCAUCAUGAUACGUAUCAUUCACAAUAUAAACAUUUUGGCCUCCUUGACCUCAAAAUAAAGGUACAUCAUGCACUGCAGGGAAUCACAUCAAGUUACAGGUAUUACACAUCCAUCAGUGCAGAGGAAGGAAGUCAGGGUAGGGGCAGGGGUAAGGAGAAUUUAUAUUUUUAUACUAUUCCAUGGUAUAUUUCACAACAAGUAGCUAUUUACUCCAAAACUACAUUUUCAAAAAGUAGUACCUAUAAUAUGCCAUACAACGAGGUAAUUUUUCCUUCAACUUCACCUUCCAUACCAAAUGGGGGUUAAGGAGCAGAGAAAGUGCAGCUUGUAAGUUUAGAGAAUACUGGAGGAAAAAUAUGCAAGGAAAAUCUCUCUUCAAAUUAUCUCUUGCUUUGCUCAAAAAAAAUAACUGUACCAUUGUAUUUGCAUAAUUUUCAAUCAUGUCAGAUAUAAUAACUAAACUGUUAUUUUCUUACAGUUUUCAAAAAGAUGAAAAAAUAAAAUUCCUAAUUAGUAAAAUAGUAAACCAUAAACCCAUCACAUUAUUAAUAAAUUUUUCCUAGAGUAUGGAAGGUGCUUGUUAUACCAGAACAUGCCCUCUAUAAAUGCAAAAGAAACAAGCCUCAGAGAUUUCGAUUCAGUAAGGUAUUUGGGGAUUGCUCCCAAUUUGGAAUUCAAAGCUGUGUACUAGAACAUAAAAUAUGCAUGCCAUUAUUCUUUUCAGAAAUUUGUUAUUAAGUGACCAGGUAAAAGAAAUUAAAUGUAAUAUAAUUUCAGUUACAUUGUGGUAAAACUGCCAUCAUAGAUCUAGAUUUUUGUGUAUGAUAUUACAAUUUUAUCUUAAAAUAAAAGACUGCAUUUUUUGUAAAUUCAAAAAGUUCAUUAUGCCAAUGAAAUUUGUUUCCAACACUAGACAUAUAUAUACAGUACACAUGUAAGGACAUGUGUAUAUCAAAAUCAUUGAGAAAUAAGUCUUUAGGGGUUACUGCAUACAUUUGUAAUACUUAAUAAGCAAAUAAAAGUGGAAGAAUAAUUACACAGACUAUAAAUAGAUACAAAAAAUGUUAUAAAAGGAAAACCCAAUAACUUUUAGAAUCUAGAUAUAUGAUAUGCUGCAAGACUGAGACUUGUAAGAGCUUCUGCAAAAUAGAGUUGCUUUUGCUUAUAAAAGCCAAAUACAUAGCAAAAAAGUCAGUUCUGGUGUGGUUCCCCUAUGCAAUUUUAAAAAUGAUUAUUAAAAAAAUCUCUAAUUUCCUUCACCAUGUACAGUUAAUU